UACGAAGGGGGCUAGCGUUGCUCGGAAUCACUGGGCGUAAAGCGCACGUAGGCGGCUUGUUAAGUCAGGGGUGAAAUCCUGGAGCUCAACUCCAGAACUGCCUUUGAUACUGGCGAGCUUGAGUCCGGGAGAGGUGAGUGGAACUGCGAGUGUAGAGGUGAAAUUCGUAGAUAUUCGCAAGAACACCAGUGGCGAAGGUGGCUCACUGGCCCGGUACUGACGCUGAGGUGCGAAAGCGUGGGGAGCAAACAGG
rnacentral:rRNA from 1 species